rnacentral:rRNA from 1 species
UACGGAGGGUGCAAGCGUUAUCCGGAUUCACUGGGUUUAAAGGGUGCGUAGGCGGCUUGAUAAGUCAUUGGUGAAAGCUCGCGGCUCAACCGCGAAACUGCCAAUGAAACUGCCAAGCUUGAAUCUGGUUGAAGUGGGCGGAAUACAACAUGUAGCGGUGAAAUGCUUAGAUAUGCUGUAGAACACCGAUUGCGAAGGCAGCUCACUAAGCCAACAUUGACGCUGAGGCACGAAAGCGUGGGUAGCGAACAGG